ACAGCCUUGGUCCUGGGCUUACCGUUGUUUUUCUUUAAGAUUAUACAUGCAAGCCUCCGCACACCAGUGAGAAUGCCCAUAACCCCCAGACAGGUAAACCGGAGCAGACAUCAGGCACAACUUCAAGCCCAUGACGUCUUGUCCACCCCACACCCCCACGGGCUACAGCAGUAAUUAACAUUGGGCAAUAAAUGAAAAUUUGACCCAGCUAUGAAGACAAGGGCCGGUUAAUUUCGUGCCAGCCACCGCGGUUAUACGAAAAGCCCAAAUCAACGAGUAAACGGCGUAAAUUGUGACUAGAUACUCCUUAUAUUAAAAAUAUUAAAACUCUUGAAACGAGCUGUAAAAUGCUUACAUUAAGAAGAAUAACAACACAAAUAUUUUUAAUUUUUAAGACAUUGAUCACACGAAAGCUUAGAAACAAACUAGGAUUAGAUACCCUACUAUGCUAAGCCCUUAACAUUGAUAGCCAUCCCACCACACUAUCCGCCAGAGAAUUACUAGUGAAAAACUUAAAACUCAAAGGACUUGGCGGUGUCCCAUUUCGGCCUAGAGGAGCCUGUCCUAUAAUCGACACCCCCCGUUCCACCCAACCUCCACUUGCACAUUCAGCCUAUAUACCGCCGUCGACAGUCUACCCCAUGAGGGCCUUUUAGUAGACACAAUAGCAAUAACUCGCUAGUACGUCAGGUCAAGGUGUAGCAAAUGUUGAGGCAGAGAUUGGCUACAUUUUUUGUUUCAAAACAAACGAAAUGCAACAUGAAACAUUGCACGAAGGUGAAUUUAGCAGUAAAAUGAACAAGAGAGUUCGUUUUAACACCGCUCUGGGACGCGCACACACCGCCCGUCACCCUCCUCAUACUUCAUUUAAACCCAUAAAUAAUAUCACAAAAUAAACUCAGAGGAGGUAAGUCGUAACAUGGUAAGCGUACCGGAAGGUGCGCUUGGACUA
rnacentral:ncRNA from 1 species